ACGAACGCUGGCGGCGUGCCUAAUACAUGCAAGUCGAGCGGGGAUUAUGCUUGAUCGCUUCGGUGAGACGGCAUAUAUCCUAGCGGCGGACGGGUGAGUAACGCGUGGGUAAUCUACCUCGUAGUUCGGGAUAACAGGCCGAAAGGCUUGCUAAUACCGGAUGAGUUCAUGCUUAUGCAUAUAGGCAUGAAGAAAGGGCUAGCCCGCUAUGAGAUGAGCCCGCGUCCCAUUAGCUUGUUGGUGGGGUAAUGGCCUACCAAGGCAACGAUGGGUAGCCGGCCUGAGAGGGCGACCGGCCACACUGGGACUGAGACACGGCCCAGACUCCUACGGGAGGCAGCAGUGGGGAAUAUUGCACAAUGGGCGAAAGCCUGAUGCAGCGACGCCGCGUGAGGGAUGACGGCCUUCGGGUUGUAAACCUCUUUCAGCAGGGAAGAAGCGAAAGUGACGGUACCUGCAGAAGAAGCACCGGCUAACUACGUG
rnacentral:rRNA from 1 species